GAUGAAGAACGUAGCGAAAUGCGAUACUUGGUGUGAAUUGCAGAAUCCCGUGAACCAUCGAGUCUUUGAACGCAAGUUGCGCUCGAAGCCAUUAGGCCGAGGGCACGCCUGCCUGGGCGUCACACGUCGUUGCCCCCCCAUCUACUCCUUCGGGAUUGCGGGGGGCGGAUGAUGGCCUCCCGUGCGCCUCGUCGCGCGGUUGGCAUAAAUGCCAAGUCCUCGGCGACGCACGCCACGACAAUCGGUGGUUGCGAAACCUCGGUUGCCCGUCGUGUGCGGUCGUCGCGCAUCGAGGGCUCGAAAAAAUUGCCGGGCUCCGGCUCGGCUUUCAACGCGACCCCAGGUCAGGCGGGGUUACCCGCUGAAUUUAAGCAUAUCAAUAAGCGGAGGA
rnacentral:misc_RNA from 1 species